CGAGCGGCCUAUUUCCUAUCAGCUAGUUGGUGAGGUAAUGGCUCACCAAGGCGACGACGGGUAGCGGGACUGAGAGGUUGGCCCGCCACAUCGGGACUGAGACACUGCCCGGACCUCCACGGAGGGCUGCAGUAACGAAUAUUGGGCAAUGGGCGAAAGCCUGACCCAGCGAUGCCGCGUGUAGGAUGAAGUCCCUCGGGAUGUAAACUACUUUCAGGGAUCAGAAAGUUUCGGCUGAUCAAUCCCAGAAGAAGUCACGGCUAACUUCGUGCCAGCAGCCGCGGUAAUACGAAGGUGGCAAGCGUUAUUCGAAAUCACUGGGCUUAAAGGGCGCGUAGGCGGACAUGAAAGUGCUUUGUGAAAUCCCCCGGCUUAACCGGGGAAUUGCUUGGCAUACUCCAUGUCUUGAGGGCAAGCAGGGGUGUGUGGAACUCUUGGUGGAGCGGUGGAAUGCGUAGAUAUCAAGAGGAACGCCGAAGGUGAAGACAGCACACUGGGCUUGUACUGACGCUGAGGCGCGAAAGCGUGGGGAGCAAACAGGAUUAGAUACCCUGGUAGUCCACGCCGUAAACCAUAUCUACUAGGUUGUGGGGGUUCUGACACUCUCACAGUCGCAGCAAAAGUGUUAA
rnacentral:rRNA from 1 species